GCGGUAUCUCGACGGAGAGUAAAAGUGCCUUUUUCCACGAGAAACGGAGACAGUGUGUUGGUGUUGAUAGCGGAAGGAUUUAUGACAAUGAAUCAAUUAGCCAAUAAAUGAGAGAAAAUGGGAGUUAAUUGUAAUGCUGGCUACUCAAACACCUCGUGACUACCAUGGUAUCGUUUUCCCUGGAUUUGUUCCAUGAUUUGUUGUUAAUAUCUUGCAACAUCAUGCAGUUAAUUUUCGACCGAUGAAUGAAUGCAACUGCAAAUUUUGGAUCUCACUGAAACAUGAAUUGUACCGUUUUUUCCUGCAUUUGGUUUACUUUUCACACCUGUAAACUGGAACGUUAUAUUCUGCAACUAAUUAAGAUCGACGAUGGAGAUGACAAGGAACACCCUGUAGUUAAAAUACUUCUUUAUCUUGCAUGCUCUAUCCAUUAGAAUUAAU